rnacentral:rRNA from 1 species
GAAAGGCGGGGGAUCGCAAGACCUCGCGCGAUUGGAGCGGCCGAUAUCAGAUUAGGUAGUUGGUGAGGUAAAGGCUCACCAAGCCGACGAUCUGUAGCUGGUCUGAGAGGACGACCAGCCACACGUGGGACUGAGACACCGGCCCAGACUCCGUACGGGGAGGCAGCAGGUGGGGAAUUUUGGACAAUGGGCGCAAGCCUGAUCCAGCAAUGCCGCGUGCAGGAUGAAGGCCUUCGGGUUGUAAACUGCUUUUGUACGGAACGAAACGGUGAGCUCUAAUACAGUUUGCUAAUGACGGUACCGUAAGAAUAAGCACCGGCUAACUACGUG